rnacentral:lncRNA from 1 species
UGCUGCACUAUUUGUUGAUAUUAGAAAUUGCUUGAUUAUCUGUGAUGUGAUAUUGCUGUGCCUUGUUUGUGUGGAAUUGGGAUGAAGUGGGUCACCAUGGGUUUGUGAGACUGUUACUGUUAUAUAGAUCCUGAUUCUAAUUUCUGUUAGCCGGGUAAAUGGGACAUCGGCGCCCCCGUGUGUACCUACUGUUCUGAUCUGUAUGAUAUGGAAAACCACGGGUUGGUCUCUUUGGGCGCACCUGAUAAUCUAGAUCUGAUCGCAGCCCGCAGGGUGGCCUCCUGUUGUGAGCGCUUGAAGAUNNN